rnacentral:lncRNA from 1 species
CUAUUUAGAACGCUGUCCAGGGGAGGAGCCAAGAUGGCCGAAUAGGAACAGCUCCGGUCUACAGCUCCCAGCGUGAGCGACGCAGAAGACGGGUGAUUUCUGCAUUUCCAUCUGAGGCCAAGGCGGUGGGACCGAAGUUACCUCUGGAGUAUGAAAAUAAGCAACACCAUUAUGAAAAGUCAAAAGAACUUUGGAGUCAAACAGUCCUGCAUUUGAAGGCUAGUGCUACCACUCACCAUUAGGCUAUUUAACCCCAUACUUCUUAAAGUUGGAUAAGGGAUGGAUGGUAUACCAGGAGAUAUGAAAAAGCAGAGGCUGAACAUAGUAAUCUUCCUACAGAAUCAGUUUUAUUCAAUUGUUUUUGGGAAAUAUUUUUAUAUUCAAA